GCGAACUGAUCGAUCCUACACUGCCAAGAAAAGCCUCUAAACAAGAUAAUCCGGUAUCCGUACUAAAACCGACACAGGUAGGUAGGUAGAGAAUACCAAGGCGCUCGAGUUAACCCUCGUUAAGGAACUCGGCAAAAUGACUCCGUAACUUCGGGAGAAGGAGUACCCCGGUAGGGUGAUCCAAUUUACUUGGUCAGCCCGAGGGGGUUGCAAAGAAACGGCCCAAGCGACUGUUUACUAAAAACACAGGUCUCUGCUAAAUCGAAAGAUGAUGUAUAGGGACUGACGCCUGCCCGGUGCUGGAAGGUUAAGGAAGGGGGUUACUCCUCGCAAGAGGAGGAAGCUCUUGACCGAAGCCCCAGUAAACGGCGGCCGUAACUAUAACGGUCCUAAGGUAGCGAAAUUCCUUGUCGGGUAAGUUCCGACCCGCACGAAUGGCGUAACGAUUUGGGCACUGUCUCAACGAGGGACUCGGUGAAAUUGUAGUGUAAGUGAAGAUGCUUACUACCCGCGACAGGACGGAAAGACCCCGUGAACCUUUACUGUAGCCUGAUAUUGAAUUUUAGCAUAUUCUGUGUAGGAUAGGUGGUAGGCUGUGAAAGAGGGGCGUUAGCCUCUCCGGAGCCACCCUUGAAAUACCACCCUUGAUAUGUUUGGAUUCUAACCUUUCGCCGUUAUCCGGCAAAGGGACAGUGUUUGGUGGGCAGUUUGACUGGGGCGGUCACCUCCCAAAGAGUAACGGAGGUGUCCCAAGGUCUCCUCAGUGUGGUUGGAAAUCACACCAAAGAGUGUAAGGGCAUAAGG
rnacentral:rRNA from 1 species